UAUGUUUUUGAAACAAGAAUGCAGCACGCUACRACUUACUCCAUGUGGAAUAACCAAGCAACGGAGCUAGCCCUUUGUGGUACUGGUGAAGCAAAUGAGGCAGCCAUGAUCGUGAAGAUGUCCUUCAGGUUUAACCACAUGAAAUGUGGAAAAAGAAAUUUGGGUGGUGCUUCCUGAGUUGAUUUUUCCUUAUAAAACUGAAAUUAUGAGCUUCCUUGAAAAGAAGCACUUUGCUUAUUUUUGCAUGCAAAUURCUCACAGAUGUGAAAGCUUUCUCCCAGAUUUACACCAGGAUUCUCAGCAAUGGUUGUACACUGAAUCAUCUGCAGUGCUGGAGGACUGAAUCCAGGAUGUCUCCCAUGCUAAGCAUGCACAGUACCUCUAAGCUACACCCCAGCCCCAGGUGUCAGUAGCAAACUCUGGCUGUCCCCUGGGAACAACUGAAAACAGGACUGUGUGAUAUUCCACCUCUGCCCUGGAGAGCCCAGCAUCCCACCCCAAGAACAUCUAGUCAACCACCUYGAGAAGGAACUCACGGACUCUUGAGAAUUCUAGAAUCAUCCACAAUUUAAAAAGAAAGCAAUUCCCUAGACUUCU